rnacentral:rRNA from 1 species
UACGUAGGAGGCGAGCGUUGUCCGGAUUUAUUGGGCGUAAAGGGCGCGCAGGCGGUCUUGAAAGUCAGGCGUGAAAGCCCCGGGCUUAACCUGGGAAUUGCGCUUGAUACUCUGAGACUGGAGUACGGGAGAGGAGAGUGGAAUUCCCAGUGUAGAGGUGAAAUUCGUAGAUAUUGGGAAGAACACCAGUGGCGAAGGCGGCUCUCUGGACCGUAACUGACGCUGAGGCGCGAAAGCGUGGGGAGCAAACAGG